rnacentral:rRNA from 1 species
GACGAACCGUGCGAACGUUGUUCGGAAUAACUGGGCUUAAAGGGUGCGUAGGCGGGUCCGCCAGUCUGUGGUGAAAUCCUCCCGCUCAACGGGAGAACUGCCGUGGAUACUGCGGACCUCGAGGAAGAUAGGGGCGUGCGGAACAGUUGGUGGAGCGGUGAAAUGCGUUGAUAUCAACUGGAACUCCGGUGGCGAAGGAGGCACGCGGGGUCUUUUUUGACGAUGAGGCACGAAAGCUAGGGGAGCAAACGGG